UGGACCCAGGAGAGGGGUGUAUCAUGAACUAAGGAUUUUUAUUUAUUCAAUUCCGUACACCUGAUGUCUACU
rnacentral:snoRNA from 14 species